UUAAGAUGUAUUCUUUUUAUACUAAGAAUUAUUUGAGAUUUGUAAAUAAUGAAUGUUUAACUUUUCAUAAAAAGUCAGACAACAAUUACUUUUGAAAAAAAUACAACUCCCAACAUAUUUAUUUUUCUUUUCAAGAUAAUUUACUACAAUUCCUGGGGUAUAUAAACCAACAGAAAUGUUUUAUUUUUUUAUACCGUUUCUGAAAGAGUUUACGAUGAAAUAUCUAACAGGAAUAAUUGUAGUGAUGGUACUCGUUUAUUAUUGUUCAGCAGAAGAUUGCUGCGACAAUAUAAGCGAGGAAUAUGGAUACACGACAGUUUGUGACAAUGUUUGUGGAAAAGCAGGGUGUCCUAUUCAAACUAUUUUACCAGUUCUACGGUGCAAAUGCAUUGAAAAUCAUUGUAGAGACGAAUGGAAUAUUUGUGUACCGAUAGGCUCUGUUUGAUUUGAAACAUUUUUAUAGUCCCGACUACAUUUCAUAUAAAUUCAAUAAAAAGAAAUUUACUAAUAA